rfam:Mesocricetus auratus contig098096, whole genome shotgun sequence.
AUCCUUUUUUUGGUUCACAAGCCUGAUGAUUUGGGAUUCAUGAAAAUAAAUGACAUGUGACACUUACAAAACUUUGUUAGGACUUGGGCACAUUAUCCAUCUGACA